rnacentral:tRNA from 1 species
GCCUCGGUGGCGGAAUUGGUAGACGCGCCGGAUUCAAAAUCCGGUUUCUUUAUGGAAGUGAGAGUUCGAGUCUCUCCCGAGGCACCA